GCGUGGCUGCACCGUCUUCUCCGAGCGUUGCGCGUGAGCGGGAGGCUUUGAGCCGUUGUCGCCAAGCGGCGCCUGACCACCCCGCGGAUAUCCCCGGCGAACUGCUUCACUGAAGAGGGUCCGGAAUGCAACAGGCGUCGCACCAUCGACAUCAAUGCGCAGCGAGACAUGCCAGCACGUCGCAGGGCUGCUUCUGAGCUUUGCUGACCUGGCGACUGCUGAACUCAACAAACAGCCUUCAUGCACGGACUUGCCAUGCUAAUGGAUUGUACCGCCGGAAGCAAAGAGGCCAGUGCCAAAGGUGCCGCUGAAGGAGAUCGUGUUUCAGAAUCAUCGAAUAAACAGAGCACUCCAUCAAGAGAGGAAGUUCAAGCCGUGCAGUUCUGCUUUACCGCCACAUCAUCAAGAUAUCAUAUCAUUAAAGGAGAACCUGUUGGCCUGCUACCCAACACUUCAAGUACUGCGGCACAUGAAACCAGCAGAUAAGAAGCUACAAAGAGUUCAAGGACCACCAUCCGAGGUCUUGAUUCAAUACAACGAAAACUUAUGGGGAAUCAGAGCAUUGGCAUCGUUUAAUGCACGCACGGCAUAAAUGAAGCCCCUUUGUCAAGAGGAGAGGGAUGCAAUAUAUGUAAAAACUACUCCAUUUAUGAAUCAUGCACUUGUGCCAGAGCUUCUCAUAGGGUGUGUAAAGCUACUAGAGAAGCUGCGCACUUCAGGCCAGUAUGUCUCACACAAGAUGCUGAAGAAAGGAUUUUAUGUGUGCGAACCUCAAGACAUGUUACGAAUGAAAGUGAGAAAACUAAAGUCUCCAAAAGAGGUCUGGCAGAACCUGCUGGUGGCCAGUGCUGCAUUCCUAAUAAAUGUGUAUAAAUACGAAGUGACUUAAAGAGUGAUGACAUGUGCAAGAAUUUUAAUUAUUGUGCUAAAUAAAGAAAAUUUGUCAGGAUUAACUAAAACCGGACAAACAAAUUCUAUAAAAAGCUGACUACUAUAGAGCAGCUACAACAUUCUACUUUUUUUUCCAGUUAUGUUUACUAAAAUUUAAAGUACACUUUUUAUGAAUGGCGCCUUAAAGUUGCACUCUGAAAACUUGUUCUGCUAUGUCAAUCAUAGAAAUUGGAAAUGCCCCAUCGAGAAUGUGGAAGCUUUUGAUGCGUCCAAUAGCCCGCUCAACAUGCACCCUUGCACAUGCAAUGCGACGAGUUUUUUCCACUGCUUGAGGCUGCAUCUGUGCCUGCUUUGGCUCACGGAAUGGUGGCCUGUAGAUAGUUAUUCGUAGGGGUAAAUAAUGGAAUAUAAAACCUUAGUCGACCAUUAUAGCAUCCCCAGGCUGUAAUCUAUCAAGAAGCCCAGAGCUCUGCAGAAUUGCGUUGUCUGACACCGAUCCUCUCCAAAGUCGUGAAGCAUAGCUAAUAUAGCCAUCUGGUGUGCACCCCAUUAGUACUUUAUAAGUAUUAUAGUGCUUGUACGUUGAAAAUGGUUUGCCGCUGGGCAUGAAGAGAAGAGGGACGUUGUAUUUGAACUUCUGUGGCAUCCAAGACCAGCCUAGUAUUCUCAAACCAUUUCUAGGAUCGAAUACUUUCUGCAAUGUCAUUCAGCAGUUUCAUUCUUCUAACUUCUGCGUUUAGCUUACCGACAUCUAAACCUGAUUCCUGAAGCAUGGGCGCUAUAACGUAAAA